rnacentral:rRNA from 1 species
AGACAAUAGAUACCCUGGUAGUCCUGGCCCUAAACGAUGUCCGCUAGAUCAUGGGACCUUGACGGGUUUCAUGGUCGAAAGCAAAAGUGCUAAGUGGACCGCCUGGGAAGUACGGUCGCAAGGCUAAAACUCAAAGGAAUUGACGGGGGCGUCACACAAGCGGUGGAGCAUGUGGUUUAAUUUACGAAGCAACGCGCAGAACCUUACCUGGGCUUGACAUGCCAGGAUUAUCCUUAUGAAGUAGGGUACAGCCCGCAAGGGCCGGAACUGGUACAGGUGCUGCAUGGCUGUCGUCAGCUCGUGUCGUGAGAUGUCGGGUUUAAGUCCCUUAACGAGCGAAACCUUUGCCCUUAGUUACCAUCGGGUCAUGCCGGGGACUCUAAGGGGACUGCCGGUGUCAAACCGGA